CCGUCUUGCCCGUGACAAAGUACCCGUCGUGUAAUGGGGUUGUGUCAGUGUAUAGAGGGUAAUGCAUCAAGUUUGUACUUAUAGAAGCGCAGAUUUCUUUUUAGUCCGGCGAGCCUGUCGUUGGUGGUUAGGUCUUUUGUCUCAGAUUCGUGCAAUGGUGAGCUACACCUGUGGCCCAAAACUGAGCUGCGAUAUCCGAUUGGUAGUCAACAAAUUUGUCUUCUACAACUGAAUCAAGCAUUGGACACGUUACAGUGAUGCAGAGUGACUUUAUCUAAAACAACAAAUAAUUGGCUCGGUUAAAGAGACUGUUGGAAGAAACAUUUUGUUGGUUUUUUGGUCACUAUGACAGUGAACCAAUAAUGGGUUUUGUUUAGCCUGCAAACUUUGGCGACUUUAACGGAAUAACAACAUUUGUGCACUUCUGCCGAAAACUGUUUUGACUGAGUGUGCCUUUACCUUUAACUUUUUGGAGUUAAAGUUACUGUUGGAUUAACAGAUUCUUGUCAGCUUUGUGCAGAGAUGCUGCAGUUUUUCUGGAGCCUGAACUGGCAUUUAACAAAUAUAUCCAGUGGAAUGCUAUCACGAAAGUGACUGACGGAAGACAAAACAGAGCGGUUAGUUUUACUACAGUGCGGACCACCAGUGACAACACAUAAGGAACGUGUGUGAGUGGUUGAGUGCCCGAGGCAGUACACAGUACAGUACGCACACACAGCGAAGGCGAAGGAUUCAUAACACACACUGACUGUCUGAUGGUCUCAGUCGGAGCUGCAGCUGGUCUCUCUCUGGAGAAAGGAAAUAAUUGUUUGGACAACAACGGUAUUGCUUUAUUUGUGACUGGACAUCUUGGAAACGGUAACACCUCAGAGAGAGGGACGCAGUGGAUGUCUGACGUCACAACGAGAAGAAUGUUU